UGCGUAGGCGGAAGAUUAAGUCAGUGGUGAAAUCCUGCAGCUCAACUGUAGAACUGUCAUUGAUACUGAUCUUCUUGAAUACAGUUGAGGUAGGCGGAAUAUGUAAUGUAGCGGUGAAAUGCUUAGAUAUUACAUAGAACACCGAUUGCGAAGGCAGCUUACUAAACUAUGAUUGACGCUGAGGCACGAAAGCGUGGGGAGCGAACAGGAUUAGAUACCCUGGUAGUCC
rnacentral:rRNA from 1 species